UACGUAGGGCGCAAGCGUUAUCCGGAAUUAUUGGGCGUAAAGCGCACGUAGGCGGAUUGCUAAGUCAGGGGUGAAAUCCUGGAGCUCAACUCCAGAACUGCCUUUGAUACUGGCGACCUUGAGUCCGGGAGAGGUGAGUGGAACUGCGAGUGUAGAGGUGAAAUUCGUAGAUAUUCGCAAGAACACCAGUGGCGAAGGCGGCUCACUGGCCCGGUACUGACGCUGAGGUGCGAAAGCGUGGGGAGCAAACAGG
rnacentral:rRNA from 1 species